rnacentral:lncRNA from 11 species
UCAUUUACAUGUAAUAAAUUUUCAAAUUUUCAUGUGAAUGUAGAUUUCUAAUAUAUUUUCAAUUUAAAAGUUAAAUUUCAUGGCAAUGAAAUAAUUCCAAGACGAUAAAAAUGAACGAUACACUUUUGAAUUUUAGAUAUUUCUAUUCGAGCAUGUUCUAUUGAUCAAGAUAAAUGAAAAACUAAACAUACAAUGUAGGAAAAAUACACUUGCCUCACACUCAAUUUUCUCAUUGUGUUGGAUGUAAAGAGAAAUCUGACUCAUUGAAGUGAGAUAACUUUAGGCUUUCCCCCUUCUGGUUAAUAGUCUCUUUUGAUUUAAUGUUUAUUUUAAAUGCUUAAAUUUAUCACUUUUAGCAUUCUCUUGUAACGUUUUGAAGAACAUUGUAUCUAACUACUGAACAUAUCUUUCAAUAUCCAACUUAUAUACACAAUAUCUUUUUUUCACAUAAAUUCACCGUUAAUGCUGUAUUUAUUUAACAUUUUCUUUUUUUAAUUUUUUGUAACGUAUCUUGCUUUCUUAUAACUUGAAUCAAGAUACUUUAACGCAUAAUUUAAAGUAGAAUAAUUUUUCUUCUUCUCAAUUCGUGAUAUAAAACUUUCCAAACACAUUUUUUAAGAUCUACAGCUUGUUCUUUUUUUCAGGAAGGCAAGAAAAGAUAUGUCGGUUCGCUGUUGUAGUAAUUUGUCCGUAUCGACGUCUUACUUUGUAACGUAAGACGUUCGAAAAACUUCUUUAAGAUGUUUGUUUGAUAUUAUCAAACAUCUUUAGAACGUCCAUAAAAGCUGUGCUACAUGGCUGGUUGCAAGAACUGGAAUUUUUGUUUACCAUGAUUUACUGUCUAAAAUAAAAAAAGAAGAGCAGAACGUAACAGAACGCAUGCAAAGUUUUCACGUGGAUUUGAAGUCGAAUUAAUAUCAGAAAGAGAGGGGAAAAGAAAAGAGAGGGUAUUUCCACAAAAAGAGAGAGAAGUAUAAAUAAAUAAAAAAUUAAAUUCGCCGAAUUCUAAUGAGAAUAGUUUCUCGUUUCUCCAACGAAUUUUCAACGAGUACAGUUAAUCUGGAAAUCCGUUUUUCAAGAAUGGAAACAAUAAAAGUAAAUACGAGGUGCCAAUUUUCGGGAUAAACCGGUGUUCCAUUCACGCGGAGACAAUUAAAUCUGGCCUGGAAUACUUAUCGAAACGUGACACUCGACGAGAAAUCGCGCAUCGUGUCUAUAGAACGUUUGCGGUCUACCGGAUAUUCGCGGCUAUCGAUGAUAUCCGGAGACAUCCUUGGCCUGAUAAACGGAGAUAUCCUGUUUAUCCGUAUAACCAUAGCUCCAUCUAUCGAUUAACGCGAUCUCGAGUAGUAAUUGAACGAAAGCAAAAACCAGUUCUCCAGUUUCUUUGUCCCAUUAAUUUACAAUGCAAUAAAAAUGAAUCUAUUAUUUUUAUCAAUAUCAUCCUAUCCUUGUUCUACGAUCGAAGAAAUGAAAGGAUGGAAGAUCGAUAAUUGAAAUACGCGAAUCCUUUAUUUUUAUUAAGUAAAUAAAUAUUUUAUCACGAAGAAUAACAAUACAAAAAUUACUUCUUACGUAAAUAAAUAUUAUACUUUUCUAUGUUCUAGAUCCUUUCGCAGAAUUGACAAUAAUUUAUUUUAUUAUUCUCAUUAACAUAUACCAAGAGAUAAACAUUUUCUCGUAUAUAUAUGUAUGAUCCAGAAAAGAUCCACGUAGAGACGAACGUUUUGGAAGAGGAAAAAGACCAAGCGUUCCAUCAUCGAUUUCGUUCGCUCCAUUUUCGUUCACGAGCAUUUCUCGUUACCCACCCUCCCUUCCUUUCGUUCAUCCCCGGCCAGCGAAAUGGGGGAAUAUCGCAUUUUCUUGCCAGCCUGGCCGGCGCGCAAGAUGAAAAUAAAGGAACGCGGAGGAAUGGAGAAAAGGAAGAAUGAAAGGAGCCGGGUACGCGGAAAAAUCGAAAGCACCCAGACACCCUUUUUCCUUUCUUUUUUUUUUUCUCUCUUCGUUGGCCAAGCGGAGCAACAGGGCGCUGAUAUUCCUCGUUGGUUUCGCCGUAUUGGGAGUACGAAUAAACUGAGAGAAUAGCUGUUGCAUUAUCGGUUAUAUGUUGCGCGAGGCGAUAGACCGUGGAUUCUUUUCCAAAGAGGUAUUUUUUUUUCGAUUAUUACUAUAAGCAUUUAUCGUUACUAUUUAUAGAAUCGUGAGAUUUUUAUCGAGCUUGUUUAUUAUUUAAUGGGAUCAUAUUUGGAUCAUAUCCGUGUUGAUGAUACGAUUCCAAAUGUAAAAUUUACACCAGUACACGAAAUAAUUUUUCGAGAGGCUAAGGUGUAGGUGCAAUUAAAGUGUUAUUGUUUAAAAUGUAAAUAUGAAAGUUUACGUCAUAAUAAUUUAAUCGUUUUGUAUCGGUUUAAUUGAUUUAUCGAUAAAGCGAUUAAGUUGUAUCGAUAAAAGUAAAUUGGUUAUUCGAAUAAUUCAAUAGGAAUUUUAAUUUUUAGAUAUGUGUAUUAAAAAGAAAAUACUCGUAAUUUUAUAUUUAUCACGAUCGAUGUUCUUCUCUCAGAGAAAGGAAGAAAUUAUUUUUUUUUUCAAAAAUAUAUUUUUGUAUAUAUAAUUAUGAAAAACGAAGGAUCGUGAGUAUAUUGUAAAAAGGAAGUCUCGAAAAUAGACGAACGCGCACAAUGGCCGCCAAGAGAUCUUAUAUCAAAUGGGUAUUGCGCUCGAGGACAGGAAGGCAUUCGAAUACUUAAUUAGAGAUUUUUAUGUUAUCUCGUUUGAGCUUCCGGUUUUGUGUUAUACAAGUAACGUGCACGUACUGUUGUGGUAUCCGUUUCUUUUUUUUUUUUUUUCUUCAGGGAUUAGUCAUCACUGUUAUUUUUAUAAAACUCGUUUGAAGAAGUAUUGCUACAAACGAGAGGAGGAAAAGAAAUUAAAAAAUUCUUUUUUUUCUGCUUGGGAUUUAAUUUUUUUUUUCUUCUUCUUCUUAAUUCAACGUGACAUUAUUAUUAUUAUUAUUAUUAUUUAUACGAUAUAAUUAUAUUUUAAUUUAAAUAAUUAUCCUGUCGUUCAUUGUUGAAUCAUGUAUGUAUUCCUCCUCUCCCUGAAAUGUGUACUAUAAUUGUGACCACGCUGUUCUAAAUUCAGCCCCUGAGAGCUGUUCAAUUAAAACAACCCAGAACGAGUAUAAACCCACCUACUGCAUGUACAUACAUAUAUAGAUGGAACACAUGUUCAUAAAUAAUAUUGUUAACAACCACUUCGUUGCAUUGUUCUCGGUCAAAAACAAACGAGCAGAAUGUCGAAAUCGUGUAAAUUUGAAUAUAAAAAGUCGUGUAAUAUAACAUUGAAAAAAAAAAAAAAAGGGAGAGAGAAAAUUUAUGAUAAUAUUCAUCAACAUCACUGAAGUGAAGUAAAAUUAGAAAAAGAUUAUUGCGUUUGAAGAGAAGAAUCAAUUUGCCGAUAUUUUUACAAUAUAAUAAAAUUGUGGUAUUUUAAACAAUUAUUAAAAUUAACACUUGAUAUCAUAGAAUGUUUUAUUAAUAGAACGUAAUAACGUUUGAUUACAAUUAUAUAUACUUAUCAAAUUUUAGAACAUCCGCAAUUGAGGUUUUCUACAAAGGAAGUUAUAAAAAAUGUUAAAUUGAUUUGAAAAGAAUUUAAUGAUUGAAAUAAUUUUACUUAACUUUCUUUUAUACCAAUUUUAAAGAAUCAUUUAUGAAUUUUGUUUAUCUAAUUAAAGUGAUUCCCAUUUCAAUUACCAUAAAUAAAAUAUAUAAUAAAAUAUUGCAAAUAUUAGAUAAAAUAUUGCAAAUAUUUAUGGUAACAAAAAUUAAUAACUUGAGAGUUACAAAGAAUUAUCAAUAUAACAAUUUACUUUAUAUAUAUAUAAUACUCCUUCUUUAUUCUAAAAUUGACACGUCACUUUGAACUGUCAUUACAGAUUAUUUUUAUUAUUUUCAGACAAUGGACAUCUUUAUCCACCAUCUAUUCAUCAAACAUUCCUCCACACACACUUGGAUCGCUAUCAAAAUUCAUCCUGCCACUUUAUCCCAUCGUUUAUUGAUUAAUCAGUGAAAUGUCACUGUUGUGGCCGGCGUGUUUUCAAAGAGGUUCAAUCUUUGCACAAUUUUUACGAGGCGAAUGAUUGAAGGUGAAAAAAAAAAGGAGGAAAAAAAGAGAGAGAGAGAGAUCGUGAGUAUAAUAAUAAUAAUAAUAAUAAUGAGGUAAACGUUUUUUGAGCGCCUCGGGUUACGGCAAAGGUCCCCUCCUCUAACACACUUAAUAAAAUUGUGUUUAUCGCUUCGCCGACUUCCGUCUAUCGGGUCCAGUGACGUCACUGCCGUUUUUCUAACGUCAAAACGAUAAAACAAAACCGCAACUUGUGCCGGGAUGGCGGUAAAAUAACUGGCCGUAAUCGGAAUCAGCGUUGUGCAAUCGUUGUGUAUCACGUUUGAUGCAUACCCAAUUCUAUUUAUAGCUCGGCUCCGCGAUUAUUUUUAACGGAAACGGACAAAGUCGAGGAACGAAAGUUCUGGUGAUCACUUCUCCCUGACAAGUGGUGCCAAAACUCAAUGAGAUUUGCGUGUCGACCGUUUUGGACAGCUCUGGUGUAAAGGGAGUUAUACUUUUUUGAAACGACUUUAACAAAUGUUGAUAUGUCACUCUGCUCUUUAUAAGAAAUUUCAACAAUAUUUUUUUAAACGUUUAAAAUAGUAAAAUCUAUAUAUACAUGUAUACUGGACAAGAGGAAGGCACACAUUAAGUGUUUGUUAAGCUAUUAUAUCACGAAUAAUUGACACGUACAAAAGCGUGUAGUUUCUAAAAUUAAAAUAGACAGAGGAAAUGAUACAUAUGAAGAAAACUUUUUACAACACAAAAUUAAUCGAGCAAGAAAGUGAAUUAAAUUCGUCGAAAAUCAUUUUAAUCGUAUCCAGUGUUAAUUCUUCAAUAUUCUGGAAUUUUUUAAAUUUUGAAAAAAUUCAGGAUUGAUUGUCGUGUGAAUUUUCCAGAGUUAUCGUUAAGUUUUUCAUCAAAUGUACAUCAUUGUCCCUCACAACUACAUUUGUGUAAACAAUUGAUACGUAAUUAAAACUUUAUAAAAAAUCAUCUGCACCAGAAAAAUACAUCAACUCGAAAUCGAUCGAAAACUCAUAAAUCCAAUAUUCGACUAUCAUUUAUACCAAGUUGGAAAUAUUUCUUCCGUUCUCGACAAAAGAAAAAAAAGAAAAAACGACGGACACAAAGGAAAAUUUCGACCCACCCACUCUUUUUACUGGUCAUCGACAUGGACGUAGGCGUAGAGAAACAUCAUUUGGAUUGGAGUAGCGUAAAACGAUUCGCCUCGUCGACCGAAUCAUCGAUCGGAUCUCCUUCGUUUGAUGCGAUUUAUAUCUAAUUGCAACGUACGAAGGCUCCAUGGGAAAUGGACGUGGAAGAGGAGGCGUGGAAAACUCGUAUCCUCGAGAUGGUCGAUGCGGCAAUUGAUGGUCUUCGCGGUCUCGAACGAAGGAACUGGCUUAAUUGAAGAAUUAGUUUAGAUCACGUAAGCGUAAUUCUUAAGAGAUAAUAAUUAACAGACGAAGAGGAAUAAUUGUGAAAUAUAUAUAUAUGUGUGUGUGUGUGUGUAAAGAUUUACAUCGUGUGUGAAUUAAAUAGGGAAAUAGAUUGGCCAAGGACUCAAGCGAUUUAUGAAAUUUAUGCUAUAACUCAAAGGUAAUUAUACAAGUGUGAUUUUCCGAUAAGAAAAAUCCAAAGAAAAGAAAAAAAAAAAUUGAAUAUCAGAUUUGAAUAAUGAUUAUUUAAAUGCUCGAUGCUAAUUCAUUUCCACAUAUACGUGAAAAUUUUUAUAUCGUUGAAUAUUAAUUAUUCAACGAUUUUUCUGCAUUAUUCCUGUAUCGCAAAUAUUUUUUACGCUAUAUUUUUAUAUACGAAUAAUUGAUGCAUGAACAUUAAAAUCAAGUAUUUAAAUUAAAUAAUUGAAUAAGUAUAUUCAACAAACACAAAAUCUUCCAUGAAUUAUAUAUUCAUAAGGAAUUAAUUCUUCACAAUCUCUGUGUUGACUUUUAAUUAUGCAUGGGAGAGAAAAAAAUUAUUCUAAUAAUCUACUACUGAUUAAGAAGUUCAUUAUGUGGAGGAGCU